UGUGAAAUCCUAUGGCUCAACCAUAGAACUGCAUCCAAAACUGAGGGGCUAGAGUCUGGGAGGUGAAGAUGGAAUUAGUGGUGUAGGGGUAAAAUCCGUAGAGAUCACUAGGAAUACCAAAAGCGAAGGCGAUCUUCUGGAACAGUACUGACGCUGAGGCGCGAAAGCGUGGGGAGCAAACAGGAUUAGAUACCCUGGUAGUCCACGCCCUAAACUAUGAAUGUUAGUCGUCGGGAGGCUCGUCCUCUCGGUGAUGCAGCUAACGCAUUAAACAUUCCGCCUGGGGAGUACGGUCGCAAGAUUAAAACUCAAAGGAAUAGACGGGGACCCGCACAAGUGGUGGAGCAUGUGGUUUAAUUCGAAGAUACGCGAAGAACCUUACCUGGCCUUGACAUUGAUAGAAUCUGCUAGAGAUAGCGGAGUGCCCUUCGGGGAGCUUGAAAACAGGUGCUGCACGGCUGUCGUCAGCUCGUGUCGUGAGAUGUUGGGUUAAGUCCCGCAACGAGCGCAACCCUCGUCACUAGUUACUAACGGUUCGGCCGAGGACUCUAGUGAGACUGCCUUCGUAAGGAGGAGGAAGGUGAGGACGACGUCAAGUCAUCAUGGCCCUUACGGCCAGGGCGACACACGUGCUACAAUGGGAUGUACAAUGAGACGCAAUACCGCGAGGUGGAGCAAAUCUAUAAAGCAUCUCUCAGUUCGGAUUGUAGUCUGCA
rnacentral:rRNA from 1 species